UACAGAGGUCCCGAGCGUUGUUCGGAUUUAUUGGGCGUAAAGGGUGCGUAGGCGGCGGAGUAAGUUGGGUGUGAAAUCCCGAGGCUCAACCUCGGAAUGGCAUUCAAUACUGCUUCGCUCGGAGUACUGGAGAGGAGGCUGGAAUUUACGGUGUAGCAGUGAAAUGCGUAGAUAUCGUAAGGAAGGCCGGUGGCGAAAAGCGAGCCUCUGGACAGUUACUGACGCUGAUGCACGAAGGCCAGGGGAGCAAACGGG
rnacentral:rRNA from 1 species